GCUCGCUUGGCUCAGUGGUAGAGCGUAUCACUAGUAAGCCGUCUUAGGCCAUGAUAAGGUCAUCAGUUCGAUUCUGAUAGUGAGCA